GAAAUAUUGGAUUGGAUGACAGCCUCAGCAAACUCCUUCCUGGAGAAAAACCACGCCAAAAAAAAGAUUUUGGCACGACCUCCUACAAGAAACCAGGUCCUCCGACACCGAGCAAAAAUGGCGGCCGUUUAUCACUUCAGGGAAAUGAGGUUCAACCUUUACGUGAACACAAUGACAGGACUUCUCCAAAAAAAACUACUCCAAGUAGAAUCAAAGCAUUAUUCAUGGGUCGAACUAGUCUAAGGGAAAAUUCCGAGAACCAUUCCACUCCAAAGACCAAUAAGCGACUGAGUAUUUUCCGAAAGCAAAAGUAAUGGAAAUGCAACUUGCCAGUUAUUUAAUAAAAUGUAUUAAUUCUUCUUAUUUAUUUAUGUAAUUUAUGUUUUAACUGUGUUGACGAAAAUUGUUUGUACAAAAACAAAUAAAAAUUAUUUCAGUUUU